UACGUAGGGGGCUAGCGUUAUCCGGAAUUACUGGGCGUAAAGGGUGCGUAGGUGGUUUCUUAAGUCAGAGGUGAAAGGCUACGGCUCAACCGUAGUAAACCUUUGAAACUGGGAAACUUGAGUGCAGGAGAGGAGAGUGGAAUUCCUAGUGUAGCGGUGAAAUGCGUAGAUAUUAGGAGGAACACCAGUUGCGAAGGCGGCUCUCUGGACUGUAACUGACACUGAGGCACGAAAGCGUGGGGAGCAAACAGG
rnacentral:rRNA from 1 species